GAAGCAAGCUAAGACAUGGAAUGUGUAGAAGUGAAACAAUGGAUUGAACCAUCGACUCCCGGUGCAUAGAAACCAAUCACAACAAACCCGAAUAUUUCAGCGGCAAAAACAAAAGGGAGGAAUUAGCAAUAACUGUUUAACAAUAAAAUCCAACCAGCGAGAUGGCCACUGGAGAUCUGAAAGGAUGUCUAAGAAAGCUGGAAGCCUCUCUCCGUUCUCUAAAGUAUCCCAGAGAUGUGGACUAUCAAAGAUUGGCUGUGGGAGAUCCAUCAGCAUGUCUUCCCAUUGUGAGCUAUGCCUUCACGUCCUUUUCCCCCUCACUCACAGAACACCUGGUCGAUUAUGGGGUGGAACUAACCGGAAUGAAUGACUUACGAUUUAUUGAGAAUGUUUACAAGGUCUUACGGGAUGUUUUCAGCUAUAAGCCAUUGUUGACCAAACAGCAGUUUCUUCAGUUUGGCUUUGCUGAGAGGAAAGUCACCAUUCUCUGUGAUAUCGUUGGCCUUGUUCUCAACAAGCACAAAGAACUCACUAAAGAAACCAAGCAUGUCAGUAAACCAAAGAGAAGGCCUCAGUUGAAGAGCUGCAUUAAAAAUGAGAUCCCUUCUGCUGAGAGUAACUCACUUGUGUUAACAUCCCUGACAGUUCCUCAGAAUCAGCCACUGGUAGAAAGGCAUCUUGGCAGCAGCUCAGCACCAGCUCAGAUCAUACGCUCCUCAGAUGAGCAGCCACAGCAGGAAGAGGAAACACAAAAGAGGGAGUUAGACAGUGAGCAUAUAGAGGAUUCGCCUCAACCUACAGAUUCCACUGUGAGAAUGCGCAUCCUGCAACACAUGUACACACAGGGAGGAGUGUGUGUUAGAGAGCCGGCUGAGGGGCGUGGAGGUACGUCUUCUGGAGAGUGUUGGCAGACUGGAGCAGCGAUUGGCCCUCAUGGAACACAGGAUACAUGCACUGGAAAAAAGCUUGGCUGGCAAGAUUAUCAUCGAGAGGAACCAGUGGGAGAACUUGGAGAGUCGUGUGCUGCUGCUGGAGACCAGGCUGGCACUGACCUCAGCACAGAGUCUAACUUCACAAGAUGGGGUAUUCAACUCAGGCAACGUUGAAUCUAAAGAGAACACAGUAUCUGCAAGUGGCUUUUCUACUGUGAUUCAACAACCAUCUGACAUCAGUGAUAAUGGGCAUAUUCUAGCCAGUUCUUCUCCCACAGCUACCCAGAAUUUUAAAGAAAGGCUGGACAGAAUAGUUUACAUGAUGAAGGAUACAUCUAACAUUCUGCAAAAUAUAGAGCCGACAAUACAAAUUUGAUCUCAGCUCAAGUUUAAUAAAAUAAAUAAAAAU